rnacentral:snRNA from 1 species
GUGCUUGCUUCGGCCGCAUGUAUGCUAAAAUUGGAAUGAUAGAGAUUAGCAUGCCCCCUGCACAAGGAUGGCAUGUAAAUUUGUGAAGCAUUCCAUAUUUUU